rnacentral:tRNA from 1 species
GAGGUAUUAGUAAAAAUUAUAUGACUUUGUCGAAGUCGAGUUAUAGGUGAAAAUCCUUUAUACCUCU